rnacentral:rRNA from 1 species
GUGUCAGCAGCCGCGGUAAUACAGAGGUCUCGAGCGUUGUUCGGAUUUAUUGGGCGUAAAGGGUGCGUAGGCGGUGUGGCAAGUCAAGUGUGAAAUCUCGGAGCUCAACUCUGAAACUGCACUUGUUACUGCCGUGCUAGAGGGUUGUAGAGGAGAUCGGAAUUCACGGUGUAGCAGUGAAAUGCGUAGAUAUCGUGAGGAAGACCAGUUGCGAAAGCGGAUCUCUGGGCAAUUCCUGACGCUGAGGCACGAAGGCUAGGGGAGCAAACGGGAUUAGAAACCCUAGUAGUCC